rnacentral:lncRNA from 1 species
CCAAGUGGAGGGGAGACGCCCGGCCUGCCAGCCGCACCGGCUCGCAGCCGCGCUGGCCCGCGAGGAGGGGCAGGCAGAGGAGCGCCGCACAGGCCUCUCGCGAGGCAGCCAGCCAAAAAAAACCGCCGCUUCCACAGCAAACGGCCUCCGCCAAGGCAAAAAUCGCCGUCACCGCCUCCUGCAACUGCCGCCGCCGCUCCCCCAAGUCCCGCACCAGAUCCCCGGCGGUCGGAGCCGCGGCGGUCUGUUCUCGUUCUGUUCCGUGGGCAGCGAUGUUCCGGCGACGGGACGGCAUCGAGGAGGGGCGGAGCAGGCGCGCGACGGCUUGGGGAUGCCCGAUGUGGCCUCGGCUGCGGGGACGACGGCUGCAGCGAAAUAGACGGCCGACGGUGGCGCUCGGUCCUUCGAUGGCGGCUCGCUCCUGGGCGACGACGGCGCACCGCGCGAGCGAGGGGAGCGCGCGGCAGAAGGGAAGCAGGGCAGGGCGUGGGGCCGAG